GCACUGACUGCUAUCGGAUUGAUACUAAGCCCUGUGAGUCUUUGUAGCAAUACAAGGCAGACGGCUCAGUAACGCGUAGCCAUCUACCCUAUGGACGGGGAUAACCUCGGGAAACUGAGGAUAAUACCCGAUAGAUCAUUAUGCCUGGAACGGUUUAUGGUCUAAAUGAUUCGUCGCCGUAGGAUGGGACUGCGGCCUAUCAGCUUGUUGGUGAGGUAAUGGCCCACCAAGGCUAUUACAGGUACGGGCUCUGAGAGGAGAAGCCCGGAGAUGGGUACUGAGACACGGACCCAGGCCCUAUGGGGCGCAGCGGGCGAGAAAACUUUGCAAUGUGCGAAAGCACGACAAGGUUAAUCCGAGUGAUUCCUGCUAAAGGAAUCUUUUGUUAGUCGUAAAACCACUGAUGAAUAAGGGGUGGGCAAGUUCUGGUGUCAGCCGCCGCGGUAAAACCAGCACCUCAAGUGGUCAGGAGGAUUAUUGGGCCUAAAGCAUCCGUAGCCUGCUCUGUAAGUUUUCCGGUUAAAUCCAUUCGCUCAACUGAUGGGCUGCCGGAAAAACUGCAAAGCUAGGGAGUGGGAGAAGGUAGAACGGUACUCGGUAGGAAGGGGUAAAAUCCUUUGGAUCUAUUGAUGACCACCUGUGGCGAAAGGC
rnacentral:rRNA from 1 species